UUAACCCUGGCGGCGCCUGAGGCCUCCGCCCGCGCGGGGCGUGGGGGUCCAGCGCGGCCCCAUGAGGGAGCCCGGCCCGGCCCGGCCCGGCUCGGCGCCCCUCAGGAGGCGGCGGCGGCGCUAGCAGCGCUCCCUGGGCGGUACUCGCGGCGGAGGGUGCAGCCGGGGCCUCCCUGCCCCCGCCGUGCCGCAGCCCUGGGAAGGGCUUCUUGAGGGGGGGGUCCGGACGGCCCAAAUGUGUCGCUGUAUUCGCAGCUGCCCCCACUCUUCCCUUGCGGGGAAGUUUAAAAAAGAGAGAAAAAAAAUUGCCUCAUCUAAUGGUUCCCGAGGGGCAGCGGCUUCCCAAAGGGGUUCCCGAGCCGCCUCCUGGCUCGUCACGGCUGACCUUGGAGCUGCUGUGCUUUGCUGCACGCGGGGCCCGGGCUGGGCCGCGGGGCCGCUGCAGGAACGGUUCUGGAGGCACUGGCCUGGAGGGGCCUUGCUGGUUGCUUGUAAAUCCUCUGGCAGUUCCCUUCUCCAUGGCACAACAUGGUGGAUCCACUUUGCCUUUCAAGUAACUCAGGAGAUGAAGGAACGCGGUAUCUGCAUUAUUUCCAUCCACACCCACGUUCUGUUCUUUUCAUCUUGACUGUCUGCAGAAAAUGAUUUGAGUUUUCUUUCUAAUUAAUACCAAUUUAUACAAAAGUCUUCAUAAUGGAUAAUUUUUCAUUUUAGAGGACGAUUGAAAGAAGCAAAAUACUGCAUUCAAACUACCACCUUAAAGCAGUGUACAUGUUCUGACUUACAAUAGCAGCGAGAAUUGCUCAACCUAAAAGAACUGUCCAAGCUGUUCUUGUACCUUUAAUUCACCCAUUAAAAAGUUUUUUUUUCUGACUUGUCUAUGUGGCAACUUUUCAAAUUUCCACCCCUCAGUGGCAGCAUGCUGCAUUCCMGUUUCUUGUCACUGGGGACUUAAACGCACUAGCAUGUAUUUUUUGUGUCAGAGGUGAGACUGUUUGUUUUUAUGACUAAUAAUGUGGACCUUGGGAGCCACAUAUCUAAGUACCAUUGAGGAAAUAUCUAGGCCUCUGUUAAAGUGUAAUCCCAUUUGGGGCAUGUCUAUACAGGAGAGCAGAGACGGCUCUGAGCUCCUGCUGCCUGUGCUCUGGCCUCCAGCCAGCUCAGUUCAGAAGUCCUGUAGCUCCCACAGCUCAG
rnacentral:lncRNA from 1 species